AUGGUAAAAUCUAUAGCCCAAGCAAUUCAUUCUUAUGCCAUGUAUGUUUUUAAACUUCCCAAAGGAAUUUGCAAGUCUAUUACCGAUGAAAUCUCUGGGUUCUGGUGGGGUGAUAACGAGGAGAAAAAGAAGAUGCACUGGUUUGCAUGGUGGAGGUUGUGCAUUCCAAAGAAGGAAGGGCUUGGGUUUAGAGACUUGCACAAUUUUAAUCUUGCUAUGUUAGCAAAAUAGUGUUGGCGACUAAUCCAGAACCUAGACUCUUUGUGUGCACGAGUGUUGAGGGAAAAAUAUUGUCCAGAUGGUGAUAUUUUGAGAGCUGGUCCAAACAAAGGAUCAUGUUACACAUGGCAAAGCAUUGUUGCAGGUAUCCAAACAGUUAAUAGUGGUUGCAUUUGGAACAGGGUCGAAAAUUGA
rnacentral:rRNA from 1 species